CUUUAUGGCUGCUCUGCAUGAGGCACCUUGGGUGCGCCGGGUGUCUGACGUCCCGGUCGGCUAACUCACGCAGAGCUGCCACCUUC
rnacentral:antisense_RNA from 3 species